GUGACGAAGCGGCGCCGCGUGUGGGAAGAAGGCCUUCGGGUUGUAAACCACUGUCGGGAGUUAAGAAAUGUAAGGGUGUUAAUAGCAUCCUUACUUGACUAAGGCUCCGGAGGAAGCCACGGCUAACUCUGUGCCAGCAGCCGCGGUAAUACAGAGGCGGCGAGCGUUGUUCGGAAUCAUUGGGCGUAAAGAGCACGUAGGCGGCCGUGCAAGUCGGUUGUGAAAGCCUUCCGCUUAACGGAAGAACAGCAGCCGAUACUGCAUAGCUUGAGUGCGGAAGGGGAGAGUGGAACUUCUGGUGGAGCGGUGAAAUGCGUAGAUAUCAGAAGGAACGCCGGCGGCGAAAGCGGCUCUCUGGUCCGUAACUGACGCUGAGUGUGCGAAAGCUAGGGGAGCAAACGGGAUUAGAUACCCCGGUAGUCCUAGCCGUAAACGAU
rnacentral:rRNA from 1 species